AACGCGAAGAACCUUACCUGGGUUUGACAUCCUCUGACAUCCGUAGAGAUACGGCCUUCGUAGCAAUACGACAGAGUGACAGGUGCUGCAUGGCUGUCGUCAGCUCGUGUGGUGACAUGUUGGGUUAAGUCCCGCAACGAGCGCAACCCUUGUCCUUAGUUGCCAGCAUUCAGUUGGGCUCUCUAAGGAGACUGCCGUGGUUAACACGGAGGAAGGUGGGGAUGACGUCAAGUCCUCAUGGCCUUUAUAUCCAGGGCGACACACGUGAUACAAUGGACGGUACAGAGGGAAGCGAAACCGCGAGGUGGAGCCAAUCUCAAAAAGCCGUUCUCAGUUCGGAUUGGAGUCUGCAAUUCGACUCCAUGAAGUUGGAAUCGCUAGUAAUCGCGGAUCAGCACGCCGCGGUGAAUACGUUCCCGGGCCUUGUACACACCGUAGUAC
rnacentral:rRNA from 1 species